UGCCAUGAGCCUGAGGUCUGUGUUAGUUACUUUAUUGCCUUGAUAAAGCACCAGGACCAAAGCAAGUCACAGAAGUAAGCGUUUGUUUGGGCUCAUGGUUCCAGAAGGAUCAGAAGCAAUAGUCAUGGACGCCAGAGCAGCAAGCUGAGUGGUCACCGCUUGAACCAUAAGCACGAAGCAGAGAGAACUGGAAAUGGAGCUCUCAAGUGUGGCCUCACCCACGUUCAGGACAGGCCUUCCUCACUUGGAUAAUCCUCUCCCAGAAGUGCCCUCAUGGAUACACUAGAAGUAUGCUUUA